AAAACGACUCUCGGCAAUGGAUAUCUCGGCUCUCGCAUCGAUGAAGAACGUAGCGAAAUGCGAUACUUGGUGUGAAUUGCAGAAUCCCGUGAACCAUCGAGUCUUUGAACGCAAGUUGCGCCCCAAGCCGUUAGGCCGAGGGCACGCCUGCCUGGGUGUCACGC
rnacentral:rRNA from 1 species